GAUGAACGCUGGCGGCGUGCCUAAUACAUGCAAGUCGAGCGAACGGACGAGAAGCUUGCUUCUCUGAUGUUAGCGGCGGACGGGUGAGUAACACGUGGAUAACCUACCUAUAAGACUGGGAUAACUUCGGGAAACCGGAGCUAAUACCGGAUAAUAUUUUGAACCGCAUGGUUCAAAAGUGAAAGACGGUCUUGCUGUCACUUAUAGAUGGAUCCGCGCUGCAUUAGCUAGUUGGUAAGGUAACGGCUUACCAAGGCAACGAUGCAUAGCCGACCUGAGAGGGUGGUCGGCCACACUGGAGCGGAGACACGGUCCAUACUCCUACGGGAGGCAGCAGUAGGGAAUCUUCCGCAAUGGGCGAAAGCCUGACGGAGCAACGCCGCGUGAGUGAUGAAGGUCUUCGGAUCGUAAAACUCUGUUAUUAGGGAAGAACAUAUGUGUAAGUAACUGUGCACAUCUUGACGGUACCUAAUCAGAAAGCCACGGCUAACUACGUG
rnacentral:rRNA from 1 species